AAGAAGAGGUAUGACAUCACCGUCAUCCCCAAGGUCGUGGUCAUCAAGCAGAAUGGAGCCGUCAUCACCAACAAAGGGCGGAAACAGAUCCGGGAGCGCGGACUAGCUUGCUUUCAGAACUGGGUGGAAGCAGCUGAUGUUUUCCAAAACUUCUCAGGGUGAAUCUGCAGGGAUCAGAGUAGGUGCUGGAAGUGCAGGGCGACCUGCCUUCAAGGAGGGCUUAACUGGUUCUCUUCUCUGUUUGGGGAUGUCAUAGCCGAGUCACCAAGCUGUGGCAGAGAGCGGAAACAGCUCAGGGAAGAACUACACCCACCCUCUGUGGGUCCUAGAGCUCCUUCGGGGUGAACUUUUAUUACUUAUAGCUUUCUCCACCCGUGCCUAGGCUCCAGGACACAUGGGCAGUGAGCUACCAGAGACCUAUGCGAGAUACUCUUUCCUGCAGGUUUCUCUGGAAAAUUGACCUAUGAGGUGAUGUGUUUUCUGACGACCUAUCACACUUUAGUGAUGCUUUGGUAAACAUCUCUGUUACUCAAGUUUGUCCACUGUGUAAUUUAAUAAACCAACAUUCACAGUUUGAGCAGA
rnacentral:lncRNA from 1 species